UUUUUUGUUUGUUGUUUUUAAUUGAUUUUUAUAAUUUUUAUUAUUUUAUUAAUUUAAUACUUUUUAUUUUUAAACUACUUUUAUUUUCAUUUAUUUUUUAUUUUGUGCUUCAGUUUUUUAUUUUUUGAAUGUUUUUUCUUAGGGGAGAGUCAGUACUAGUCGGGCCAGUACUUCGUUAAAAGCCCUUUCACAUUGGCGCCAUCUACCUUUGCAUGCAAAUACUUACUAGCGUUAGUAAUAAACUUUUAACGUCACUUUUAGUAACUCUCAGUGAAAUGCGCAAUUCGUACAGAUGUGUUUUGUAAAAGUGCACUAAAGAUUAAAAGGAAAACUUGUUUGUGGUGUCCGAAAAAAUGAAUUGAACAAAAGAAGAAGAUGCAAACAAUAAAGCAACAAAUGUAAGAGAAAAAAGUAUAAUUCCCGUUACGAUAGUGAUUACUAUACUAUAAAUAGCAAGUGUCCUGGCUGUGGGUUUUACUCUUGCGAUUAACAAGCCCGAUACUAUCACAACUAAACCAAUCACGACUGGUUUUAGAAAUGCUCAAUUCUUGAGGUGAGAGGAUCAUUGAAUCCUAGAAGUAAACCAGUAGGCCUGGGCGCAUAAAAACGAGACUCAAGGAAUAUGUUUUCGUUUGCUAUGAAAUUAACAAUGGCCAUGGCACAGAAAGCCGCUGCAAAAACAUUAGAGA